AUUUUUUUUUGUUUUGUUUCUGUUGCCAGUUCUGUUUAUGCGAAUUUCAAAAUGUCAAACACUCAAUUAAAAAUUUAUUAGUGAGUUAUUUCCGUCGGAGAAUUUAAUGGAUUCUUUAAUGCGUGCAUAUUAAAUGUUGUUCAGUUUGCAACGAACUUAAUCGUGUACGUCAUUAAAUAAAUGAGUCAAUUAAUGCACUUAAGAUCUUCUUUCUGUUCCCUCUAUACUUCUGCACGUAAAUCAUCUCUUAUAUUGCUCUACGAAUUUUUUAAAAAUAUUCUCAAAUUUAUCAUCAAUCAAACGUGCAAUUUAUGAAAACAAUUGAUCAUUUUUAACCCCUUUUUUUUAAGUUUCAGUUUCCUCUUGCUGUAUACACUACGUACACGCUUUUGAAAAUCCAUUCUAAGUUAAUUUUUGUUGAGUUUAAUAUAGUGUAGAUGGUGUUAUUCGAUAUUACAUUUUUUAAAAAAAGAAGAAAACCUUGAAUAUUUCUCUCAGUUGGGUUAAAACCUUUUGUAUAAUACAAUAAUUCUAUACCCCAUACAAGGACAGUUGAGGUGUGACUCAGAUUUCUCCACGACGUCAUUCAUGUUUAUAACUCCACGAAUAAAAUGUUUUUGUUUUCUUUCUAUUAUUUUUCUUGAUAUUAUGCAGCAAACUUUACACGUUUUCUAUGUUUUGUCUUCAUUUUAUUUUUAUUGUUUGCUUUUAAUAAAAACGCACAUCGUAACACCCGGAUUCUCCGAGGCUGUUGCAAUUCGAAAUUCUCGUUACGUACCAGUCGUAAAUAUCGUUUAUGUGUGCCAAACGGAUAGAACGUAACGAUUUCUAAUGCAUCAUUCCGAAAAAUUCAUUCAAAUGGCCUACAUUUGCAAUUCAUUCAGCUCCGGAGCAUCAGAGAAAAUUUUUCAACUUUAAUGAUUUAUAAUUAGAACGCAAACCGCAUAAGUAGGUUUUAGUAGAAUAUUCACGUAUGACUUCUAUUAGUUUAAUCACAUUAAAAAUUUCGGUUUUCCUCAUUCGUGUAAAGUUACGUCGUUCACGUUGAUAUCCGGACUUCGCCGGAAUACAAAAUAACUAGCCCUGAGCUACAGAUUGGAAUAUCGAUAAAAAGAGUAAUAAUAGAACGAAUGAGAAUAAAUAAAAGAGAGGAAAAUGAGUAAUAAUAUUUUUUUUUCUUUUCUCUCUUAAAUAUCAAGGGUAAUAUAUAAUUUUAAAAUUUUUAAUUGCUACACGUGUUAAGUUAAUAUUUUUACGAUUGUUUUGAAGUUUUUCACUUAGCGAAGCCAUAAAUUUUGCGAUUAAUGUGGUCCAAAAUCUAUUAUGUGGCCUUAUCCCACCGCCAUUUUGUAUAAUACACAUAUUUCGGGAACUGAUCAAAAGAUUCGCCGCUAAAACUGUAGAUCACCUUCUAAAAUAUAUAUGCCGACUUCGCAAGAAGAAAAAACAAUUUUAAGCGCUCGAAAUUCUCGGAAAGAUGAGACAAUUAAAUGAUCAGCAGGGAAUUUUUAUGAAGUUUGUCGGCUCUACAAGUUUGUCUUCAUAAAUAAUAGUAAUAAUUAAAAAAAAAAAAAUAUGACAAAUGGGAGAGGUGUGGCGAAUUUACAGAAAAUAUAUGG
rnacentral:lncRNA from 1 species